rnacentral:lncRNA from 1 species
GGUGUGGGUUCUCUGGAGCGCCCCCCAGCGCAACGUUACGCAAAGUGCAGGUGGCCGUGGAUUGGGACCGGGGUGCGAGAAAUCGGAGCUGGCUGUGGGCAGCAGCUUCUUGUGUGCGCUUCAGCCGCUCUUCAAAGUCAGUGCAACGCGUAGGUCAGCUCCACCUGAAGUUGAUCCAGGGCGGCCACAGAGGACGCGGGGCCGUCCUCGGGUUCCGGGCUCAAGGUGGACGGCGCAGGGGUCCAGUCCACGUCCUAGGUGACAUGAGACGCAGAGGGACCCAGAUGUAAAAUCGCCGUCUCCCUUCCACUCCACUGCACCCAUGGAAAUACUGCAUAAGCCAGGACAGGAACGAAGACCUCGCAAAAUAAAGUGUAAUUGUGUUGGGGGCCAACGGCGCAGGGAGAAGGGAGUGUUUGUAGCCUUAAUUGCAGUUUAGUCAAUAAAUCACUUAUUCUGGGCUUCUGGGCAGGAACACCUGUCUUUUAGGGAAGAAGAACAGUUUUUCCAAAUCUCUGAGAUUGGGGAAGGGGUGGGCGGGCACAGGGUGAGGCAGUUCAGACGCAAGUGUUCUCUUCUUGCCUGGAUGGUCCUAACCUAAGCAGCCCGGCCUCCUCUGGGCCUGCACUUCCUCUGGGGCCUGCUGGUGGCAGUGAAGUCCUAUGCACUGCUGUUCAUUUUUUUACCCCACCCCAGCCCCAACACACACGUUCUGGGGUAACCUCUUUGGAAGAAUUGGGUCUCUAGGUUUGUAAGGCUGCCUCUCCACUCCUGAGAACCAGGGGGCAGACAGCAGCAGUUCUUACUUUGUGAUAAUUUGAUGCAACCCGUAAAGAAGGCUUGAACAUACCCAGUUAUUUAAUUGAUUCAAUUUCUUCACUCCAGAGUCAUUCUCGGGUGGAAAUGUUCUCAGCAGGAAGGGGGUCCCUGAAAGAUCCUCUAUUGUCUCAAGAGGUAUGGACUGAGAGCUGUGGAAAGGUCAUGAAUAUGCGGUAUUUAUUGCAUAUCAUCGUGUAUGAAUAUACAGUAUCUAUUACUGGAGAAAAGAGCUAGGAUCACUUUAUGCCUGAUCUCAAUAUUGUUUAUAAAAGAGUGAUUAGAAGUUGCCAGAUUGUCAGGGACCUGCCUUCCUGCCUUUCUUUUUUCUCUUACUUCUUUGUUUGUUUCUCUCUUCUCAGAAAUAGGAUUAGUGUUUGUGUCUUCUGACCUUUGCUUCAGAUCUCAAAGUGUUGCAUUUUCUUUGGAUGACUUUGGGAUUUUUGGCAGCCUCUAUAACCUAAUUAACUGUUCUAGACAGGCCGAAGUUUAGCAUCUGCCAGUGUCACUGCAGACCAAGGCUGCAGAGGAGAGAGAAUUUCACAUUGUCUGUGGGCCACGCUGUAAAAGGCUCUUUGCACAGCCAGCUUUGCCUCAGCUAGAGAGGCUGCUGUCUUUGGAGUAUUCUACCUAAGAAGGAUACCAAUUACUCACCUCCCUCAAAACACACACACAUACACACACACACACACACACACACACACACACACGCAUGUACAUGCAAAAACAAUCUUCUUCCACAUUCUUCAGCUUGCAAGCAUCUGACAUCCUAACACCAGAUAUUGAUUUCUUAGCACACAAAUACCAAUAAAGGAGGUGUCACCUAUGGUGAUAACACUUUAUUAUAAAUUAUUUAGAUUUAUUUCUUAACCUGAGGAACCAGAAAGAAAGAAUUAGAGAGAGAGAGACAAAUGAGAGGGAGAGGGCAUGAUUGUGGAAGGCUGACCCUGAUUUUCAAGACAACUUUGUUUUUUUUAUAUCCGAUUAAAAUAUUUUCUAAACGUUUUCUUCUUGUCCAUAAAUACUGGGAGUUUUUGAACCAUGACAGGAGCCGUGAUACCUGGAUCCUGGCUCUACCAUUAAUGAGUUAUGUGACCUUGAACAAGUCAUUUAACUUUUUUGAGGCUUGGUUUUCUUAUGUGUAAAAUGUAAUAACAUUUCUUAUGUUUAAAACACUUUACACAAGAAAACCAAGGCUCAAAAAAUGAAAUGACUCAAACCAAGUCAAAUGACUCAAAACCAAGACUCAAAACAAGUGAAAUGACUUGUUCAAGGUCACAUAAUGAGUUAAUGGCAGAGCCAGGAUCCAGGUAUCACAGCUUCUGUUCCAGUGCUUCUUGCAACAUACCACCUCUAUUUUCUAAUUUUGCUCAGGUCUGGCCCUUGAGGACAUCUUUGUUAACCUGGACAGUGGGUGCUCAGGCCUGUGUUCACAGGUGUGGAAGGCUGGAUAUCAUUUCUGCUUUCUAGAUAGGAAAGAAGAUCAUUGUCUUCAUGAUCACACAGGACUAGACUCUUCCAACUUCUAGGUUGUUGAUCUGAUGACAAACACUUCCAGAUUCUGUGUUUCUUUUGGGUCCUGCUCUUUCUUCAUGAGACCACAGGUAAAUCUGUACCAUCCCAGACAUGGGCUGGAGAAUUUAAAGCAUCUAGAAAUGGGAAGGUGAAAGUACAUGAAAAAAUGAGCCUGGGACCAAGACUGUGAUCAAAAACAAGCAUUCCCCUCUCCAUCCUCUCACGCUACCACCAAUUAGUAGGCUAGACAGGUGCCUUAUCCUUAUAAAACAAUGGGAGCUAGCUCUUUAUAAAACAAGGGUGCCCAAAGGUAAAAUUACCACUAGCUUCAUUCUACUCACUGAGCUAGAAGGAGCCUUGUGAUCAUGAAAUGAAACCCCCUUUAAUAUGUAGGUGAUGCCCAAAUUGUAAUUUUAUUAAAUGAGUGGAAAGAAAAUUACUUCCUAAUAAUACUGAUAUAUGAGGAUUUCCCAUAUUCUUGACCUGCUGUUAGGCUUUUAAUAGGCAUCUCAUUUAAUCGCACUACAUCGAGGGUCUGGGCCCAGCACCUCCUAUCUCCAAGUCUGACAUCCCUUCUUGGACACUACUGUUCCUGUAUAUCUUUUGUUAUGUGCAUUCAUUACCUUUUGUAACAUAUGUGCACUUUGCUUGCUCCGAAGUCUAUGGUAUGCACAUGUACCUCACCUACUUCCCUUCACUGUGAUGGCUGAUGAUUUUUCCCCCAGCUUCGUGGCUAUGUCACAUGUCCAGUUCAUUCCUCGUAGGUGCUGGAGGUAGUGAUCAAAAGGCACAAAACUAGAGUCCCUGUGACUGACUGUGACCCAGCAGAAAGAGUGCCCAUCACCCAACCUGUAUUUGCCUGCAGGUGCAUUCCCAUGUGUGUACAUCAAAUAUCCUGGUCAGGAAACCUGUGGAUCAUUCUUCCAUGAAAUAAAUUUGUUCUGUUAUGGAUAGAAGUGAAAUAGAGCCCCUAGUGUCAUGAAGAAGACCACAUUAGCACAUCAUGCCACUCUUACUAUUUUAGGGACUCCACCCAGUGAAGUCAGUGAUGUGCUGUUCUUGCUUCCCUAGCUUGAAGAAGAGUAUCAGACUUAAUAUUACAUUCAUACAGUGGCUCUAUGAUUUGGGUGAUAAAUAAUUGAAUCUGCUUUGCUAAUGUGAGAAAUAGAUUAUUCAGGGUCACUCAAGCCAGGGUUCCACUUUUCAAAGUUCUAGGUGGUAAGCUAGAUCAUUAGGAACCCACUUAUUUGUUUACAAAAUGGAAAUUUUCAGUCUUUGUGAGAAUUUGUCAGCAUAACAAUUUGCCAACAGAGACUGUUGAUUCAGAGGUGUCUGUGGCAUGAUAGAAUUCACAGCAGCACAGUUUUAAAUAAAGUUACACCUUUCAGAAAGCGCUCUGAUGUUUUCAUGACUCAGAAAUUCUAACUUUACCUCCACCCCCUUCCAAAUCUGCGUAAUGUAUUUUUUGAGCAGCCUUCCUCUUACAACCUUCUAAACACAUUGCUAUGAGAGCACUAUGCAUGCCACACAAAGUAGAAGAAAGUUAAAGAAGUUUGAAGUAAAAGUUUGUAGAUUAUUUUGUAUUUCUAAAUUAAAUAUUUUAUUUUCAUUUUGUAAUUGCCAAGGUUGUUUUUCUUUUUUUCUCCUUCAUGACAAUCUCAAAUACAGUACCUUACAAAACCCUCCUCUUGCUUGUUUCAUCAUCUGAUACUUAUUUGGAGAGUUGCUUUUUACAAAGCACUUUCAUACAUGUUAGCUCAUUUACUUUUAGUCUAACCUUCUAAAAUGGGUUCUGCAUUAACAUUAUUUCCCUCUCCUCUCCAAUUUUUAAUGUGAAGCUCGAGUGAUUUUAGUGGCAUGUUUAGGUUCACUCAGUUGCUGGAUAGCAGAGCCAAUGUCAAAACUAGAUCUCCGAACAUGAAGCCAUAGAUCAUUUAUAAUAUACCACGUGGCUGCCAACGUAUAACAAGAUCCAUUUAGCCAAAUUGAUUAAACAUCAUUUGCACUUCUCUAUAAAAUUUAUACUGGUGGGUAGGCAAACCAAAUAAUAUGGUGUAUAAAACACUCUACUUGGAUGGCAAUGUUAGCUACAUUGCCUAUUUACAUUGACUCAUAUUUUUAUUGAGCAGAAGCUAACUUCCACAUCUUUUAAUUCUGCUAACAACUCAGUCUUGUAGAUAAGUACAAGAGGCUGAGACUUUAAAUGACUUGUCCAAAUUCAGAUAGCUAAUAAGUUGGCAAAGCUAGAAUGUGAACCAGAUUUAUCUCACCCUUAUGCUAGAUGGAGUCUUUUCAUCAUGUAACACUAAAUCCACAUGAAUAAGAAGGAAAUCUUCCCUUUACAGUACUCUAUAUUGACAUGGCCCAAAUAUCUUAAAUAUAUUGUCCAGGUCAAUCAUUGUUUUCUUAUUUUUUAAGUGCUUGUACUUAGCUAGAAUAGUAUGAAGCUUGAAUGUAUUUUGAAUCUGCUUUUCUUUUCAAAAUACCUUAAUGGGAUAAAGUGUUUUUAUUUGCAUAUUUUUGCAAUUUGCAUAUUUUCUGCAAAAAUUCAAUAUAGAUGAUGAUUCUAUAACAGUCUCUCUAAAUAUAUUUAUUUGGAUUCUACUUUCUGAAAAACUACUAUGACUUUGCCAUCUUCCUUUUCUCACCAUUCUUAUAGUUAUGCUUUAUGUUUAUUAUUUAAUAAGAUUUAUUUCUUCACCAAAUAAGAGUCUCCAUCACAAUCCUUUAGCCUGAAUUAGUUAUAGAGUUGCACUAUGCAUCUCCUUGGGUUACCCCUUGUAAAUGUAAAUUAUCUUAUCGCCUAAAUUUAGAAAGCCAUAUGCAGAAAUUGACAGGUCAUUUACAUUCAGUUCAAAGAAGAGGAUAGGCAGCCAAUUAUAUUGUGUUGAAGCCUUGAGAAACAUUUUACAAAUCAAAUGAUUCAAAAACAGGUUUUAAAUUCCUAACUCCUGUCACUUCUUGAUAAGUAUGGGAAGAUCAUUCCGCUAUCAUUUGAAAGAUUUAGAACAAACUUAAAAUUUAGGGGACUGGCUUUAUUCCUCUCCAAAUAAAUAUAGUGUAGCUUUUUUAUUAUAAAAAUGUAUAUUAAUGUAUCUUUUUAUUUGCAUAUUUUAUCAUAUAUUUUUAUUAUAAAAUAUAAUUGUAUGUAACAUUUUAAGAGAUGCUAACCUAUUUGAUCUAUAGAUCCUGAUCUAUUCCUGCAUUAGUCAAGAUUUUUUAGUGGCAAAUAACCAAAAUCAACAAGUUUCUUUUCAGAACACAGGAGUUUAUGCAGAACACAUGGCCAGAAAAGAAUUGAGUCUCAAGACAAAUUGGAACCAGGAAUAAGAAAUGUCCUUGGGACAAAUGGACAUUAUUUUACUGAUAUCCUAGAUCUCAUCUCUGGUUCUUUCUAAGCAACAAGAACAUCUCUUUCCCUUGCAUCUCUCUUUUUCUCUUGUGUGAGCACAGGCAUGCACACACACAUACCCCCACAUAACUUUCUUUGAUAGUUAAUACUCAUGAGCCACAUGGAAAGACUGAUUCUUUUUUGAAAUCCUUUUCAGGAACUAGGGAACAGCAAAGUAAUUGAGUAAACAUAUUUGUGUUCAUUUUAAGUUGAUGCUUUCCUGUGGCUCUUUCCACUCUUCCAGGAAGUUAGCAUACCCCAACACAAAUACUAACGUAAAACUGUACUCACAGUUUACCUUUUGUUUUUCUCUGCUGUCAAAAAAUAAUUACUAUGUACUUCAUAUUAGCAAGGACAUCACUGGGUUUGUUCCUCCAAACGAAUCUUUCUCUGGAAAGAAUUUUGUAAUUCUUUCUUUUUAUUUAAAUAAGUGAUUUUUGGAAAAUGAUUUAAACACUACUUGCUCAGUUGUAAGAUGCUCAGGGGAGUAAAGUAAGUAGGAAGGAGUGAGUCAAAUUAGAAUUUUGCCACCUGAUAUGGUUUGGCUGUGUCCCCUACCCAAAUCUCAUCUUGAAUUGUAGCUCCCUUAAUUCCCACAUGUGGUGAGAGGGACGUGGUAGAAGGUAAUUGAGUCAUCGGGGAGGGUCUUUCCUGUGCUGUUCUUAUGAUAAUGAAUAAGUCUCAUGAGAUCAGAUGGUUUUAUAAGGGGGAGUUCCCCUGCACACAUCCUUUUGCCUGCUGCCAUGUAAGACAUGACUUUGUUCCUCCUUUGCCUUCCACCAUGAUUGUGAGGUCUCCCCAACUACCUAGAACUGUGGGUCCAUUAAACCUUUUUUUCCUUAUAAAUUACCCAGUCUCAAGUAUGUCUUCAUUAGCAGUAUAAGGACAGACUAAUACACAGUCUCCUCUGAAUAAUUGUGUUAAUGAAGAUAUGACAAUAAAAU